rnacentral:rRNA from 1 species
UGGGGAAUUUUGCGCAAUGGGGGAAACCCUGACGCAACAACGCCGCGUGGAGGAUGAAGUCCUUCGGGACGUAAACUCCUUUCGAUCGGGACGAUAAUGACGGUACCGGAAGAAGAAGCCCCGGCUAACUUCGUGCCAGCAGCCGCGGUAAUACGAGGGGGGCGAGCGUUGUUCGGAAUUAUUGGGCGUAAAGGGUGCGUAGGCGGUUUUGUAAGUCUUAUGUGAAAUCUAUGGGCUCAACUCAUAGACUGCAUGAGAAACUGCAGGGCUUGAGUAUGGGAGAGGUGAGUGGAAUUCCUGGUGUAGCGGUGAAAUGCGUAGAUAUCUGGAGGAACACCGGUGGCGAAGGCGGCAUCCUGGACUACUACUGACGCUGAGGAGCGAAAGCCAGGGGAGCAAACGGGAUUAGAUACCCCGGUAGUCCUGGCCCUAAACGAUGAAUGCUUGGUGUGACGGGUAUCGAUCCCUGUCGUGCCGAAGCUAACGCAUUAAGCAUUCCGCCUGGGGAGUACGGUCGCAAGGCUG